AUUUUACAUAUACAUAUACAUACGUUCCUCAAACAAAUAACCGACUGACGCAACUACGAGCCACAAUUUUAAAAUAUAAUUACUGAUAAAUUCAGUAUAUAAGCAGCAGGUAUAAAAAAAUUAUUUUUAUUCAGUGUCACGAUAAAAUUAGUGCACAUUUUAUUUCUUCAAGCCAAAUUUUAUCAAAUUUAUCAGAAUGAUGAAAUUAUUGUUGGUGACUUUAAUUGUCGCUUUGGCAAUUGCUUUAACAGAAGCUUUCUUAUUUUGGCCCUGCAGAAAGCAAAACGACGGAUGUAAUCCAUUCUUUGUCCAACUUUGCUGUGCUCCGUACCAUUGCACCGGAAGAAUAACUCCAGGAAUUUGCGUAUAAAAAUAUUGGACCGAUUUAUGUAUUAAAACUACAGUGAAAAAAAAUUGACUUGAAUCGAGA